GCCUGGGUGAUGUAGUGGUUUGAGUGUUGGACUGUGACUCUGGAGACCAAGGUUCAAUUCCCUACUUGACCA